rnacentral:lncRNA from 1 species
GGAACUCAGAUGGAAACCUUUCCUUGGGUUUCGGUGGGUGACUUGGUUCGGACAUGUUGUUGGAAAAGUUGUGAGAAAAGAUUCCUACAGAAACGUGACACUAACCACAGUUACAAGUCACCGCCCCCCCCCGAUGCCCUUCUACUCCGUUGACCGUCCAAUCUGACGCCUCCUAAAAUUGUUUACUUGAAAAUACAAUCCUUUCAUCUCCUCCUUGGGCUUGACCAAAUGCCCCAACAAGAACAGAGAAUUGUUCUUGCAAUUCUUUUUACCGAAUCUUUAUGGCCUUUCAUUUAUCUUUUGGCAUACAUCUUAGACACUCGCGCCUUCACCUCACAUGGCAAAACCUCGGGCAUAUUCCUAUUUUUUGUUCUUAAUGACCAUCUCUCACUCUUACCUUUUCUUCAUUAUGCAUUUUAUUUUUAAUCUUAUCUUUUUUUUCUUCUUCUGUUAUAUCUAAUUGUCUAUCUUUUAACAGUUUCAUUGUUCUUCUAUUUUGGGUCAAAAGAAGAUGAAAAACACAGGACAUAUAGACCAAAAGGAAGUUUAUAAGUCGUUUGAAAAGUAAAUGUUCUGUUUUAGUGGUUAACAACUCAAUCUUUAGGGUUUUAUAUAAAUUAAAAGGUCUUACUGAUAAUCUUUAGGUUUUUCUCUUGAAUCUGAAAGUACUUCAGAGUUACACAAAGUGCCUAGUAUUCUUCUCCAUUUCAUCCAAUAUUCUCUUCAUCUUUGUCAUUUUCACUCUUAACUCUUACUUUGGGUCUAAUCAAUGAACCUUUUACUUCAAUGAUGUUACGAGAAAGAUGCAUUAGCACCAAAAGAUUAAUUUGUUAAAACAAGGGUUAUGCUUUUUCUCUUUCUAAUCUUAAUCCAUUACUUGAGGAAAACAAUCAAUGC